ensembl:lincRNA Gm27016 predicted gene, 27016
GAGUCUCACAGUCCGGUAGGGAAGACAGACAUUAGGCAAGCUCAACACAAACAAAGGUUCAGGUGCUAACUAUAGCAGUCCUGAGGAGAGGCGUAAGUCAGAGUGAUCCACAGACACGCCCUUGGGGAAAGCUCACUGAGAACAGUGGCAGAAGCUUUUACUAAGUGAGGACGGUUGGAAGAACUCACACUUUCUCAUAGUGAGGAGGAAGGUUAGGCUCACGUAAGUAAGGAGAGCUAAGGGCUCAGCCCGAUAGAAUCAGAGGGUUAGGAUCUUGUAAGGCUACGGACUCAGCCAGUGCUUACCUGCAUCUUUGCAGAACAAUUCUCUUGCUUGCUUGCAGUGACCCUUCUGAGCCUGAUGGUCCAGAGCUCACUUCUCUACCACACGGUGAUCCAUGAUUAGGCCACAAGGAGGGGCAGCAACAUCAUGUGAAGAGACUAACAUGGCCCAAGCUGGCCCUACCGCAGGGUGAAGCACAGGAGUAGCCGCUGAGGUUUGGCAAACCCAUGUGGGACUCUUCAUAUGUCCGGGAUGGUACUGGAAACCUGUGACUCUUAUGUUUGCGAGCAGGUCUGUAGGAUCACAUUAUAUCUUUCCCUGUGACCUUAAAGGAAAUCUCAUUUAUUUGAAGAAAAUUUUCAUAUGAAAUUCCUACCUUCACAUGCUACAGAAUACCUAAGGCAACAGGAAGAGAGCUGAAAAGACUCUUACU